rnacentral:lncRNA from 1 species
AGGAAAGAUGUGCUCAUUCCAGUGUAUUGAUUAACACUAGCUCAGGACCACACCUACUAGUGGUAUGUGGAUAUGAUACUUCUGAUCUUGGGAUAUUUGAUAUUAAAAGUAAAUCAUGGGAGGAACUGUUUAAUAUACCAAAGAAUGUCACUGAUAGAAAGUACCAUUCUCUCUCAUUGUGGAGUGUGACUCCAACCACUAACUGGAUAAUUGUGUUUGGAGGAGUCACAUCAUACACUGAUACAGCAGUUAUUGAACUCAGAUAUACUAGUAAUAAU